AAGCCUCAGGUUUUCGUCCUAUGCUUCCAGCUGUUCUAACACCUCCUGCCUGCCAGUACUGACUCUUUAUGCAUGGGGGCUUCCGGCUUAUCUAUACUUCGAAGACAGUGAACUAGGUUAACCAGAUAUAGGACUCCUCUGUCUUGCUACGAUGGACAGCCACAAGGAUUCACUUGAAUAAAAGAAGCAACAGUGGGUGCCAGGCUGUUUGAAUUCUUAUUCGGGGUCCAGAGAGAUGGGUAAGAGCAUUUGUUGCUCUUGCAGCGGACCUGGGUUUGGUGUCUAACAUCCAUGUGGUGGCUCACAUCCAUCAGUAACUCCAUUCGAGGAGAUCCAAUACCCUCUACUGCCCUCCUCUAGUACCACACAGUGCUGUGGAUUGAAUGGCGGGCCUUGCACAGAAAUGUGCUGUUUUGUUAUACAUUUAUUACAAAGAAUCUCACAAAAAGAAAAUAUUUCAAAAAGAAUGCCAGGCUAAAGAACCUCCACCUGGAGAACUGGGGGAAGGCAGGGCAAUAAUAUCAACGUCAACAUACAGCACCCUCUGGCCAUACUUUAGCAGUUCCAGGAUGGCCAAGACGACAUCGUUGAUGUAACAGAAACCUGAGGCGUCAGACUUCUUUACAUGAUGCAGUCCCCCAGCCUGGCUCGCAGUGAUGUCCCUCUGAUGUGUAUCAAGUUUCACAGCACUUUCCAAAGAGCCACCAAUAGACAACUGACAACUCAGACAGGCCAUCGAUUACCGGGAAGUCCUCACCAACGCGGAAUCUCUGCAUCUGCUUGCUGUAUUUAGACACAUUAUCUGGGCGAAUAGAGCACAAGAGUUUAAUGUAGUCAUCACUGUGGGACUUGGUCAUCUCCUCAGCGUUGGCUCUGUGAGGACGAUAGAUUUCCAUUUUUUGGUAGAGAUGUAGUUGAGCUGCAAAUCACGAGUCAUGUGGAUUCGGUGAGGCUUCAUUGGGUGGCCCUGUCCAUAAGAUAGUUUCCAACAUCCCUGUUAACAGACGUUCCUCUUGCCCUGAGUCUGUGCCAUCUUUCUCACCACCCAGUGCUCCUGCCAGUCUGAUGUUUUAAUAUUUUUAGAUGGUGAUGCUUUGAGUUUAAAUGGCCUUUGACAAAUUCUAUCCUAAUUUCUAAUUAAGACAAGGAAAGAAAACAAAGAUGGAUAAGGACCAUAAAGUAAUGAAUGGACUGGAAACAGAAGUAAACUUAUUCAACAAUAAAA
rnacentral:lncRNA from 1 species